CGCCUGUUUUAACAAAAACAUGGCCCUUAGAAUAUAAAAGAAUAAGGGUCGGCCCUGCCCGGUGGGGUGCGCUCUUAACGGCUGCAGUUGGUCGCUGUGCUAAGGUAGCGCAAUGAAUUGCCCUUUAAUUGGGGGACGGUAUGAAUGGGUUGACGUGAGAAAAGCUGUCUUUUUAACAAAGUUCAAAAUUUUCUUUUCAGUGAAAAGGCUGAAAUAUUUGUAAAAGACGAGAAGACCCCAUGGAGCUUAAUAAAUAAUUGUUUAUUAAAAGGUUAGGAAGUUUUACUGGGGCAGUAGGGAUAUAUAAUUAACUAUUUAUAAAGUAUAGUGCAGGAUCCUUUAAAAUAAAGUCAAAAGAAAAAGUUACCCUGGGGAUAACAGCGUUAUCUUUUUUUAGAGGACUAAUCGAAAAAAAGGUUUGCGACCUCGAUGUUGGAUUUGGGUAACCAUUUGGUUGUAGCAGCUAAAAGGGUAGGACUGUUCGUCCUUUAAAACCCA
rnacentral:rRNA from 1 species